UUUGUUACAACUCUAAACCUUGUGCGACCCAGACAGCAAUCUGGUACAAUGUUUUCCACUCUAAAUGGCCUUCUGAAUUGGGUGAUCCAUUCUUGUACAUUAGUUUGUCUAAUGAUUUAUUGGGCAUAAAUUCAUAAACUAAUGCUCUUCUAUUUCUCUCAUAACAAAAUCCUAAGAGAUUGACAAUAUUGGCAUGAGAAGUUCUAUUGAUGCUACCAACUUCAUUCAUGAAGUCUUCUCCACUUCCUUUUACCUCAUUUAAAACCUUGACAGCAAUGAAUCGACCAUUAGGUAGCAUUCCUUUGUACACACUACCAUAUCUUCCUUGACUAAGCUUAUCAGAGAAGGAUUUCGUUAUAUUUUUAAUUUCCAAGUAAUUAUAUAUUUUCGGAGCAAGCGAUCCGUGCUUUAGUAAAAAUGUUUCCACUUUUUGAUUGUUUUCCUGUAUCGACUCCCAUGACGAAGGUAGCAGAAUAUGAUGAUGGACGAUGUAAUGAUAACAGGCAUGCUGAGUGACACCUCUACGUGCAAAGACUGGAGAUAGGACACAGAAUUCCCUAAUCGAGCAAUUGUAGGGGGCUUCAUCCCGAAAGAUAGUCA
rnacentral:lncRNA from 1 species